CUGACAUCAUAAUUUCUUAGUUUCUAUUCUAUGGUACUAACUAACCUAUUCAUCACAAUUUUCACAUCUAAGGCUUCUAACGGUUGGAAGGAAUCAAAAGUUGGAUUAGUUGACAUGCGGUUCUAUGCCAAGAUUAAAUUUAUUACUACAGGGAUACAGCAAUAAACUCCUCCAAUGAUGUAAACUCAUGGGCUCUACUCCGAAAAAACAUCAGGGGUUCGCCACUUAGUAAGCUGGUCAAACGGAGUCGCCACAUACCCCAAGAGAUGUGCCUGUGCCUCCGGGGAUACUGGAUCUGUGGGCUGCUCCUCGCCCCCCUCGAUGUUGAUCUCUGCUAUCCUCUGGUUCAGCUCUCUCCAAAAUAUAGUUUCCACAAUAAUAAUAAAAUUUUU